ACCAAGCAGCAGGAAGAAGAGAGGCACUGGCUUCAGCUUGAUCACUUGAAACCUCAAAGCCCACAUCUAGUGACGUACUUUCUCCAACAAGGCCACACCCACUCCAAGGCCACACCCACUGCAAGGCCACACCUCCUAAUCCUUAACAGUGCAUUCCCUGACUGUUGGCGGCCAUUCUUAUUCAAACCAUCACACCUCACCACACCCUACAAGCUCGAAUAGUGCUAGGACUGGAGAUCCAAUAUGCAAACACGUGAUCCUGUGGUGGAUGUUUCACAGUCCAACUCAUAAAGAUCAGCUUCUGUCAGCGUUAGCUGCUCCUCCCUUUGCCCACGCUGCGAGAGAUGGAGAAGCCUGCAUGGAGGAAAGUCUCGGAGGAUGAGCCUGCCUGAUGCUGUUCUUUAUUUCAUCCCUGCAUUUCAUCUACUGCACGUCGUGGACUGUGGGGCGCUCGGGCCCAUUUUAUGAUCUGUAACAAAAUGCGGUAAAGGCUCUGGCCACUGACCAGGGUCCCCAGAGCCCCUCUCCUCGAGUGUAGAGCAUUGUUCGGGAGAAACGGUGCUUUGUGGACAAGUCUCUGCAGCUGAGCCAAGGGCUUCGGAAUUCUGCUAAGACUACAACAGCCUACUAUGAAGAAUGGCAGCCCCAGAUUCCCCCCAGAAAGGAAUGGAGUUGAAUUUAUUUUGGUGCCAUCUGAAUGGACUCUUUUAUAUGUACAUUCUAAAGAAUCUUUCCGCAGAGGGGAGACAGUAAUAUAUCCCCAUUGCCAGUCAUCUGCUAGCCACUGAAACAGAAAACCGAGAAAAAGAAGAGGAAAGCAAUCUUCCUAUCAACUACAUGACUAGAUUCAGCAGAUUUUAUGGGCAAUUAAGUCUUUAAAUGAAGAUUAAAGAGAACGCAUUUCUUGG